rnacentral:rRNA from 1 species
UGAUUCAUCUUACCCUUAAUCCGCCCGGGGACUACAAGUAUAAACUUAAAACCCAAAGGACUUGGCGGUGCUUUAGACCCACCUAGAGGAGCCUGUUCUAGAACUGAUAACCCCCGUUAAACCUCACCCUCCCUUGUUAUUCCCGCCUAUAUACCGCCGUCGUCAGCUUACCCUUUGAGGGCAUCAAAGUGAGCAUAAUUGGCACACCCCAAAACGUCAGGUCGAGGUGUAGUACAUGGGAGGGGAAGAAAUGGGCUACAUUCGUCCACCGACGAACAACGAAUGAUCUAUUGAAAUAUAGACCUAAAGGAGGAUUUAGUAGUAAAAGGAAAACAGAGUGUUC